rnacentral:rRNA from 1 species
GUCUUCGGGAUGCUGACGAGUGGCGAACGGGUGAGUAAUACAUACGGAACGUGCCCGAGAGUGGGGGAUAACGCAGCGAAAGCUGUGCUAAUACCGCAUACGAUCUACGGAUGAAAGCAGGGGAUUCGCAAGGACCUUGCGCUCAUGGAGCGGCCGAUGGCAGAUUAGGUAGCUGGUGGGAUAAAAGCUUACCAAGCCGACGAUCUGUAGCUGGUCUGAGAGGACGACCAGCCACACUGGGACUGAGACACGGCCCAGACUCCUACGGGAGGCAGCAGUGGGGAAUUUUGGACAAUGGGGGAAACCCUGAUCCAGCCAUGCCGUGUGCAGGAUGAAGGCCUUCGGGUUGUAAACUGCUUUUGUACGGAGCGAAAAGGUCUUUUCUAAUAAAGAAGGCCCAUGACGGUACCGUAAGAAUAAGCACCGGCUAACUACGUGCCAGCAGCCGCGGUAAUACGUAGGGUGCGAGCGUUAAUCGGAAUUACUGGGCGUAAAGCGUGCGCAGGCGGUUUUGUAAGACAGAGGUGAAAUCCCCGGGCUCAACCUGGGAACUGCCUUUGUGACUGCAAGGCUGGAGUGCGGCAGAGGGGGAUGGAAUUCCGCGUGUAGCAGUGAAAUGCGUAGAUAUGCGGAGGAACACCGAUGGCGAAGGCAAUCCCCUGGGCCUGCACUGACGCUCAUGCACGAAAGCGUGGGGAGCAAACAGGAUUAGAUACCC